AUGCCUGCACAAUUUUACACAUCAUCAUAAGUAACACAAAACAUGCCAGGAAAAGAAAAGGAAUCUGAGCAAGGUCUUCAUAAGGGGAAAAAUGACAAAUACACUAAUUUCAGUAAAUCAAAACUUUAUGCAUCACCUGUUCAAGUCUAGCCACCUCCUCAAGAGUUUGGGAAUUCACAAUGGCAGCCUGCACAUGCAAAAAAAUACAAUUAAUUCAACCAGCAAAAGGAAAUGACUGUUCUAUUCAUUUCUGGAGUGGUCUCUUUUACACAAAUCCGUGACAGGAGAGGCGUUCAUCAUGCUUCAAUUUACCAGUUGAUUAGUAAGCUUUAGAGGCGCAGAAAAUUGUUUCAUAGUUCUGGACAAAAAGUGUUAAUUUUUUUUUGGCGGCGGUGGUGGUGAUUGGCACUUGCAGCUGAAGGCCAGCCAAAAACACAAAACAGAAACAUAAAGCAGAUAUUGAGUAGUUGACUUCGUGUGCAGAGACAGUGAAUAGGUUGGUCCUAUCCAUAUUUCAUAAGAUGAACAGCCCUCAUAAUAUAGAAACAUGUAUUCAAACAACUGUUCCACCAUCCUAAUUCUUGAAAAGCAUCCGAGAAGAGGAAGAAAGAAUGGGUAAGAAGAAACAGUAACUGAUAACUGAAUGUUGUACCUUAAUUGCUAUUAUUUGCUCAGGUGUAGGAGCAACUGGCUUAGAUGCUUGAGCUUCCUUUGGUUCCUCAGCAGGUGCCGCAACCUCAACAGUUACAGUCUUCACUGAUUCCUUUUUGACCUGCUCUACAGCUUCUUGUGAUGCAAAUAAUUUACUUGCUUCCAAUCUCUCCUAUAGCAACAAGUUAGAUGUGACAGCUCAAUAUGCAGCAGUUUAAAGUACAAAAGCAAGGUUUGAUUACCACACUUUACACAAAUUUAAAGAACAUGCCUCAGAAAUUCUAGCAUGAAGAUAGAAACACCUGGUCAAAUAUAGAGCAUCAGUGAAUGAAGAGAUGAGCAAGCAUAGAUUUUUGCUGGAGAACAUAGUUGUAUGUUUAUAUAGAGAAGUAAGAGAGUGUAUGUAAAGAGUGUAUAUUAGUAACAUUAUACAUGUCGACAUUCUGCGUCGAAUCACAGAAUAUCUCAAAAAAAAGAACACUUAAUCAUUGGCAGUCUCAUAUAGCAAACAACAACAGAUUAAAUUCAAGACAAGUAUGCAAGACUGUUCUAACCAUACAUUUAAGUUUUGUACAGAAUGGAUCUUGGACCUAACUCAACCCCAAAAGCUAGCUCAAGAGGUGAGGAUUGUCCAAGACUAUAUACCAAUUUUGCCUACCACUACCGAUGUGGGACUUAACAAGUUCUAAUAAUAGUCAUUGUACUUACACCUACAUGUGGAGAGCUAGUCAUGUCUCUCUGCUUUAAGAUAAAUUACAUGCUUUUUAAAGUGAUAAAGUUCAUAUUAAGAAGGUCAAACACAAAGACAGCACUAUUCAAGGAGACCUGCAAUAUUUUUCAUUUAGGCACAACUUAUCUUGAGGUUUGACCUGUUCAAGGAGGUAAUAUCUGUCAUCUCCAUUUCCAUUUAAAAUUCUAGCAAACAGAUUUACAACGUCUGUCAAUCAUCUAUGUAUGCAACUACUUCAGACAACACACCGAACACCUCCAACUUAA